UAGUGCUGGUUUUCUUCUUAUAGAUCUGGAUUUGAAGAUGUUUGCAGGUUUCAUUAAAGCCACACAUGCAUAUGGCCUCUAUGGGUAUCCACAUAGGGUUGAAGUAAAUCAGAAGUGCCAGAGAUCAUCGAGGUACUAGCUCUCUUUUAGAUCUCCACUUCUCUGAUUUCGAUCUGAUCUCCUUCUUCAACUUAACAGUCAUAGAAGAGGAUCCAAAGAUGAAUCUACGCACAAACUCUUUUCGCAUAGGAUCAGAGG
rnacentral:lncRNA from 1 species